UGAACGCCAGCGACAGGCUAACACAUGCAAGUCGAGGGGCAGCACGGGAGUAGCAAUACAACUGGUGGCGACCGGCGCACGGGUGAGUAACGCGUAUGCAACCUACCUAUCAGAGGGGAAUAACCCGGCGAAAGUCGGACUAAUACCGCAUAAAACAGGGGGCACCGCAUGGUGAUAUUUGUUAAAGAGAUUCGCUGAUAGAUGGGCAUGCGUUCCAUUAGGUAGUUGGUGAGGUAACGGCUCACCAAGCCGACGAUGGAUAGGGGAACUGAGAGGUUGGUCCCCCACACUGGUACUGAGACACGGACCAGACUCCUACGGGAGGCAGCAGUGAGGAAUAUUGGUCAAUGGGGCGGGAGCCUGAACCAGCCAAGUCGCGUGAAGGAAGAAGGAUCUAUGGUUCGUAAACUUCUUUUGCAGGGGAAUAAAGUGCAGGACGUGUCCUGUUUUGUAUGUACCCUGAGAAUAAGGAUCGGCUAACUCCGUGCCAGCCGCAGC
rnacentral:rRNA from 1 species